GACAGAGGGUGCAAACGUUGCUCGGAAUCACUGGGCGUAAAGGGCGUGUAGGCGGGUAGAUAAGUCGGGCGUGAAAUCCCUAGGCUCAACCUAGGAACUGCACUCGAAACUGUUUAUCUUGAGUGCCGGAGAGGAAAGCGGAAUUCCUGGUGUAGAGGUGAAAUUCGUAGAUAUCAGGAGGAACACCAGUGGCGAAGGGCG
rnacentral:rRNA from 1 species